ensembl:misc_RNA Metazoa_SRP Metazoan signal recognition particle RNA
GCUGGGCCUGGUGGCAUGUGCCUGUAGUCCCAGCUACUCAGGAGGCUGAGGCAGGAGGAUGGCUUGAGCCCAGGAGUUCGAGGCUGUGGUGAGCUGAGUCUGCCACUACACUCCAGUCUGGGCAACAUAGUGAGACCCUGUCUCUU